AGUGAACGCUGGCGGCAGGCCUAACACAUGCAAGUCGAACGGUAGCACAGAGGAGCUUGCUCCUUGGGUGACGAGUGGCGGACGGGUGAGGAAUACAUCGGGAUCUACCUUUUCGUGGGGGAUAACGUAGGGAAACUUACGCUAAUACCGCAUACGCCCUACGGGGGAAAGCGGCGGACCGCAAGGCGUCGCGCGAUGAGAUGAACCGAUGUCCGAUUAGCUAGUUGGCGGGGUAAGAGCCCACCAAGGCGACGAUCGGUAGCUGAUCUGAGAGGAUGGUCAGCCAAACUGGAACUGAGACACGGUCCAGACUCCGACGGGAGGCAGCAGUGGGGAAUAUUGGACAAUGGGCGCAAGCCUGAUCCAGCCAUGCCGCGUGGGUGAAGAAGGCCUUCGGGUUGUAAAGCCCUUUUGUCCGGAAAGAAAAGCAUUCGGUUAAUACCCGGGUGUGAUGACGGUACCGGAAGAAUAAGCACCGGCUAACUUCGUGCCAGCAGCCGCGGUAACAC
rnacentral:rRNA from 1 species